UACGUAGGGCGCAAGCGUUGUCCGGAAUUAUUGGGCGUAAAGAGCUCGUAGGCGGUCUGUCGCGUCUGCCGUGAAAACCCGAGGCUUAACCUCGGGCCUGCGGUGGAUACGGGCAGACUAGAGGUAGGUAGGGGAGAAUGGAAUUCCCGGUGUAGCGGUGAAAUGCGCAGAUAUCAGGAGGAACACCGGUGGCGAAGGCGGGUCUCUGGGCCGUAACUGACGCUGAGGAGCGAAAGCGUGGGGAGCGAACAGG
rnacentral:rRNA from 1 species